CGGUUUCUAAGUCUGAUGUGAAAGCCUUCGGCUUAACCGGAGAAGUGCAUCGGAAACUGGAUAACUUGAGUGCAGAAGAGGGUAGUGGAGCUCCAUGUGUAGCGGUGGAAUGCGUAGAUAUAUGGAAGAACACCAGUGGCGAAGGCGGCUACCUGGUCUGCAACUGACGCUGAGACUCGAAAGCAUGGGUAGCGAACAGGAUUAGAUACCCUGGUAG
rnacentral:rRNA from 1 species